rnacentral:rRNA from 1 species
CCCAUAUGCUUUCGAGGGUAGUGGAUUUUCCGCCUAAAGAGAAGCUUGCGGCUGAUUAGCUUGUUGGUAAGGGAAUGGUUUACCAAGGCGACGAUCAUUAUCUGGUUUGAGAGGACGAUCAGACACACUGGAACUGAGACACGGUCCAGACUCCUACGGGAGGCAGCAGUGGGGAAUUUUCCGCAAUGGGCGAAAGCCUGACGGAGCAAUACCGCGUGAGGGAUGACGGCCUAUGGGUUGUAAACCUCUUUUUUCAGGGAGGAACAAAAUGACGUGUACCUGAAGAAUAAGCAUCGGCUAACUCCGUGCCAGCAGCCGCGGUAAGACGGAGGAUGCAAGUGUUAUCCGGAAUCACUGGGCGUAAAGCGUCUGUAGGUGGUCAAAUAAGUCAACUGUUAAAUCUUGAGGCUCAACCUCAAAAUCGCAGUCGAAACUAUUCGACUUGAGUAUAGUAGGGGUAAAGGGAAUUUCCAGUGGAGCGGUGAAAUGCGUAGAGAUUGGAAAGAACACCGAUGGCGAAGGCACUUUACUGGGCUAUUACUAACACUCAGAGACGAAAGCUAGGGUAGCAAAUGGGAUUAGAUACCCCAGUAGUCNAGCUGUAAACAAUGGAUACUAGAUGUUGGACAGAUCGACUGUGCAGUAUCAAAGCUAACGCGUUAAGUAUCCGGCCUGGGAAGUAUGCUCGCAAGAGUGAAACUCAAAG